rnacentral:rRNA from 1 species
GGCGGCGGCUUACCAUGCAAGUCGAGCGGGGAGGGUAGCUUGCUACUUGACCUAGCGGCGGACGGGUGAGUAAUGCUUAGGAAUCUGGCUAUUAGUGGGGGACAACAUCUCGAAAGGGAUGCUAAUACCGCAUACGUCCUACGGGAGAAAGCAGGGGACCUUCGGGCCUUGCGCUAAUAGAUGAGCCUAAGUCGGAUUAGCUAGUUGGUGGGGUAAAGGCCUACCAAGGCGACGAUCUGUAGCGGGUCUGAGAGGAUGAUCCGCCACACUGGGACUGAGACACGGCCCACACUCCUACGGGAGGCAGCAGUGGGGAAUAUUGGACAAUGGGGGGAACCCUGAUCCAGCCAUGCCGCGUGUGUGAAGAAGGCCUUUUGGUUGUAAAGCACUUUAAGCGAGGAGGAGGCUACCGAGAUUAAUACUCUUGGAUAGUGGACGUUACUCGCAAAAUAAGCACCGGCUAACUCUGUGCCAGCAGCCGCGGUAAUACAGAGGGUGCAAGCGUUAAUCGGAUUUACUGGGCGUAAAGCGCGCGUAGGUGGCCAAUUAAGUCAAAUGUGAAAUCCCCGAGCUUAACUUGGGAAUUGCAUUCGAUACUGGUUGGCUAGAGUAUGGGAGAGGAUGGUAGAAUUCCAGGUGUAUCGGUGAAAUGCGUAGAGAUCUGGAGGAAUACCGAUGGCGAAGGCAGCCAUCUGGCCUAAUACUGACACUGAGGUGCGAAAGCAUGGGGAGCGAACAGGAUUAGAUACCCUGGUAGUCCAUGCCGUAAACGAUGUCUACUAGCCGUUGGGGCCUUUGAGGCUUUAGUGGCGCACCUAACGCGAUAAGUAGACCGCCUGGGGAGUACGGUCGCAAGACUAAAACUCAAAUGAAUUGACGGGGGCCCGCACAAGCGGUGGAGCAUGUGGUUUAAUUCGAUGCAACGCGAGAACCUUACCUGGUCUUGACAUAGUAGAACUUUCCAGAGAUGGAUGGUUGCCUUCGGGAACUUACAUACAGGUGCUGCAUGGCUGUCGAUCAGCUCGUGUCGUGAGAUGUUGGG